rnacentral:rRNA from 1 species
UACGAAGGGUGCAAACGUUGCUCGGAAUCAUUGGGCGUAAAGCGCACGUAGGCGGCUCCAAAAGUCGGAUGUGAAAUCCCUGGGCUCAACCGAGGAAGUGCAUCCGAAACUGCGGAGCUUGAGUAUGGAAGAGGGUCGCGGAAUUCCCGGUGUAGAGGUGAAAUUCGUAGAUAUCGGGAGGAACACCAGUGGCGAAGGCGGCUGCCUGGCCUGUUCUUGACGCUGAGGCGCGAAAGCUGGGGGAGCAAACGGG